rnacentral:rRNA from 1 species
GACGUAGGGCGCGAGCGUUGUCCGGAAUUAUUGGGCGUAAAGAGCUCGUAGGCGGCUUGUCACGUCGGUUGUGAAAGCCCGGGGCUUAACCCCGGGUCUGCAGUCGAUACGGGCUAGCUAGAGUGUGGUAGGGGAGAUCGGAAUUCCUGGUGUAGCGGUGAAAUGCGCAGAUAUCAGGAGGAACACCGGUGGCGAAGGCGGAUCUCUGGGCCAUUACUGACGCUGAGGAGCGAAAGCGUGGGGAGCGAACAGG